rnacentral:rRNA from 1 species
UACGUAGGGGGCAAGCGUUGUUCGGAAUUACUGGGCGUAAAGGGCGCGCAGGCGGCACGGCAAGUCAGGAGUGAAAGCCCUGGGCUCAACCCGGGAACUGCUUUUGAAACUGCCGAGCUAGAGUGCGGAAGGGGCAACUGGAAUUCCCAGUGUAGCGGUGAAAUGCGUAGAUAUUGGGAAGAACACCUGAGGCGAAGGCGGGUUGCUGGGCCGACACUGACGCUGAUGCGCGAAGCCAGG